CUAGGCAGAACUUGCUUCGGUCCGGGCGGUGCGCCGCCCGGUGAAAAGGGAACACGGUGAGGUUUCGCCAUAUGGCGCCAAUUCCGUGACUGCCCCCGCAACUGUAGGCGGCGAGCGAAGCCGGAACAUGUCACUGCCGUGCGUCAGCGCGGUGGGAAGACCCGGCCAAGCGAUGACCCGCAAGUCAGGAGACCUGCCGAGGUGAUCACCCUGUC
rnacentral:ncRNA from 2 species